rnacentral:rRNA from 1 species
GUGGGGAAUUUUGGACAAUGGGCGCAAGCCUGAUCCAGCAAUGCCGCGUGCAGGAAGAAGGCCUUCGGGUUGUAAACUGCUUUUGUACGGAACGAAACGGUUCUCUCUAAUACAGGGGGCUAAUGACGGUACCGUAAGAAUAAGCACCGGCUAACUACGUGCCAGCAGCCGCGGUAAGACGUAGGGUGCAAGCGUUAAUCGGAAUUACUGGGCGUAAAGCGUGCGCAGGCGGUUUUGUAAGACAGGUGUGAAAUCCCCGGGCUCAACCUGGGAACUGCACUUGUGACUGCAAGGCUAGAGUGUGUCAGAGGGAGGUGGAAUUCCGCGUGUAGCAGUGAAAUGCGUAGAGAUGCGGAGGAACACCGAUGGCGAAGGCAGCCUCCUGGGAUAACACUGACGCUCAGGCACGAAAGCGUGGGGAGCAAACAGGAUUAGAUACCCUAGUAGUCC